UACGUAGGGGCUAGCGUUAUCCGGAAUUACUGGGCGUAAAGGGUGCGUAGGUGGUUUCUUAAGUCAGAGGUGAAAGGCUACGGCUCAACCGUAGUAAGCCUUUGAAACUGGGAAACUUGAGUGCAGGAGAGGAGAGUGGAAUUCCUAGUGUAGCGGUGAAAUGCGUAGAUAUUAGGAGGAACACCAGUGGCGAAGGCGACUUGCUGGACUGCAACUGACGCUGAGGCACGAAAGUGUGGGGAGCAAACCGGAUUAGAUACCCGCGUAGUCCCUGAG
rnacentral:rRNA from 1 species